rnacentral:sRNA from 1 species
GGGAGCCGCGAUGGAGGGCGCUCCGAAUGUCCGUCAGAUUUCAAGUUCCACCUAUAAAGACAGGAAUGAGGAAUACAGAAGACAGUUCACACAUCUACCUGAUACAGAGAGGCUGAUAGCAGAGCCUGACUAGACAGGAAUUCUGGCAACUGCUCCAGCAGAACUAUGGCACUGAGCUAGGUUUAAAUGCUGAGGAGAUGGAAAACUUGUCACUGUCGAUUGAGGAU